rnacentral:rRNA from 1 species
AUACGGAGGGUGCAAGCGUUAAUCGGAAUUACUGGGCGUAAAGAGUACGUAGGUGGUUUAUUAAGUCAGAUGUGAAAGCCCCGGGCUUAACCUGGGAACUGCAUUUGAUACUGGCAAACUAGAGUAUGGUAGAGGCGGGUAGAAUUCCUAGUGUAGCGGUGAAAUGCGUAGAUAUUAGGAGGAAUACCAGUGGCGAAGGCGGCCCGCUGGACCAAUUCUGACACUGAGGUACGAAAGCGUGGGUAGCGAACAGGAUUAGAAACCCGAGUAGUCC